UGGGGAAUAUUGCACAAUGGAGGGAACUCUGAUGCAGCGACGCCGCGUGAGUGAUGAAGGACUUCGUUUCGUAAAACUCUGUUCUAUGGGAAGAAAAGGACUGUACCAUAGGAGAAAGCUCCGGUUAAAUACGUGCCGGAAGCCGCGUUAAUACGUAUGGAGCGAGCGUUGUCCGGAAUUAUUGGGCGUAAAGGGUGCGCAGGCGGCUUUACAAGUUGGAUGUGAAAUAUUGUGGCUCAACCACAAACGUGCAUCCAAAACUGCAAAGCUUGAGUUAAGGAGAGGUAAGUGGAAUUCCUGGUGUAGCGGUGGAAUGCGUAGAUAUCAGGAGGAAUACCGGUGGCGAAGGCGACUUACUGGACUUAAACUGACGCUCAGGCACGAAAGCGUGGGGAGCAAACAGG
rnacentral:rRNA from 1 species